AUUCUCUCAUUGACUUUAGCAGGUCAAAGCUGGAGAGUCGUUUACCUAUCCUGCUUUGUCCAAGGAAAGAGAGAGCCAGCAAUCUUCUGAGAGGGAUUACACCAAAUAGUAAACUUCUUAUGUGUAAAUGAUCAAGCUGAAAUCAUCUUGUCAGUUUGUGCCAGAUCUCUCAAGCAAACUGAAUAAGGGGAAGAAACGUUCGAUGAUUUGAUCACCUGUCAGAAUCAUCUCUAUGAAAUGUCUCAUGCAGCUUUCAGUUCUUUCCCCACUACCAUCUGUGAAGCAAAAGAACAAAGCCCCCCUUCUCCCAUCCACUCCUCUGCCUGGUGUACAAUACCCUGCAUCCUGAUGUAAUAGUCUACACAUCUUUCCAGGUAAAUAUUUUCAACCAAACUGUACAACGACAUAUUUUAAUUAGCUUCUCAUCAACUGGACA
rnacentral:lncRNA from 1 species